AAAAUGACUCGCCAUCUCCUCAUUGGAUGUGCCUUUAGAGAGAAAUGCAUUUUUACAGAUUACAUAAUGGCAGAGUUUCUAUUUUGGUUUUGAAUUAGUUUUUUAGUUUUUUUAACAAUUUGCUAAGUUUCAGUUCAUCAUUGUGAAGUACUCCUGCUCAAAACCGAGAUGGCAGAAAGCAUUUGUUUUCUUUAUUUUAUAAAAGCACAAAGUUUUGCUGAUAUUUUGAGUGCACACAAAUAAAAGUAGACCCUUUACAGUUUAGAAUGAUGUAUUACUCUUACCUUUAUGAGCAAAAAUGACUGCGUAUUUUAAGUUGUCUCCACUGUUGGAAAUAAAAUGCAAGUGAUCGCUCUGGCACCUCCAUGUUCUGCAGAGCGUGCUUCAGCUUCCACUCUCUGCCCAAACAAUUGAAUAUGCGCCUAACAGUGAUCAUUUAUCUACGUUAAACAUUUAAACUAACAUUGUGAUAUGCUUGAAAAACUAAACUAAAUAUAAUCAAUUUUCCAUUACAUACAAAACUGAACUAUUUUAAUAGGUUAAACAGUAGUAUAAGCUUUUUUGGGAAAAUGGGGAAAAAGACUGUCUAGGGCCUAUAUAUGAGUUGUAUGUGGGGUUAUAAUAGCACAAUUCUUAACCUCACCUCAGACCUCACUAAGUUUCAAACCCUGGCUACGGUCAUACACAUCUCUAUUAUAAUUUGUUAUUAUUAUUUUAAAUCAGAGGGUUUUACAAAUAUUUAACCAAUGAUAAACAUUAAAAAGAGCUUGUCAGUAAAACUUUGUAACGCCACUGGAUCCUCAAACUGUCAGCCAAACCUUGUUACUUCAACCCGCCUCCAUUCAGAUCGACAAGCCAAGCAUAAGCCUGGAGGAGACAGAUCUCUGCUUGUUCAGGGUAUGAUAAUGCAGGGUAAAUAAAUAAUUGAUGUUUGAUUAGUUUUCUUUACUCAAACACUAUGUGUGUAAAGGCUUAUAUUUUUGUGAAAAUGCAGAUCUCAUCUUCGUCAUUCGCUGGACAAAAAUCUUGUUAACUCCAUUUUAGCUUGAUUUUCAUGUUAAGUGCAAGUGUCUGAUAUAAUACCAACACUGACGACGCAGUGUUGUUUAAUUAUUGAUUUUGCCCCCCGCCGUAUUUCAGUGCUUCAGUUCUAUGGAAUUGUUUUAAAUGAUUCGGUUCAAUCGCAACGACUCACUUAUUAACAGUGACUUGCUGCCACCUACUAAUUGUUUUAAUUUUCCAUUUUUAAAGUAUCUUUUAAUUUUCUUAAAGCAUUCCAUGUCCCUCUAGCUGCAUUGAUGUGUAAAUACAUCUAAAUGCCAAAUAAAAAUUAAGAAUGGCCGGUAUACACUGUAAUUAUGAACCAAAACCACAUAUUUGUACUAGUCAAGUGGGAAAUUAAUGUGGAAAAAAUUAUACUCUGAAGCCCUUGUGGAUUUACACAAAAUGAGAAAGUCAAAAAGGGCCAGUUUCUGUUUCGCUCUCUCCUUCUCUGCAUAAAGAGUAUGCCCAAUACUAGUGCUCAAGCUGUUGAAAACCUACAGUCUAUCUCACUUGCUCCUGCACUCAUUAGAGUGAAUGUGUUUCUUGAUUCUUCCUUGCCUUACACUGACUGUCUUCUUCACAACUGAACAAAUUCUGUUGAUAUGAGAGUUCAAGAAAAUUAUAAGGAGAUCAUUACUGGUUUAGUUUUAAUUUCUAAUAUCUGAACAAUGUAAGUGAUUAUUCUAGCUCAACUUGUCUUCCUCUGCCUGUAUACAGUGUCAGUCCAAGAUACAAAAAUACAUAAAUCUCUGGGUGUGUCUCA